rnacentral:snRNA from 1 species
AGCUUUGCGCAGUGGCAGUAUCCUAGCCAAUGAGGUUUAUCCGAGGUGCGAUUAUUGCUAAUUGAAAACUUUUCAAUUAUCUUAUCUUUUAACUUUGCAUAUUUUGUAAAUGAUCUGCUGGCCAUCC